AUGCAAGUCGAGCGGACUUGAUGAGAGCUUGCUCCAUCAAGUUAGCGGCGGACGGGUGAGUAACACGUGGGCAACCUGCCUGUAAGACUGGGAUAACUCCGGGAAACCGGAGCUAAUACCGGAUAGUAUCUUGAACCGCAUGGUUCAAGUUGGAAAGACGGUUUCGGCUGUCACUUACAGAUGGGCCCGCGGCGCAUUAGCUAGUUGGUGAGGUAAUGGCUCACCAAGGCAACGAUGCGUAGCCGACCUGAGAGGGUGAUCGGCCACACUGGGACUGAGACACGGCCCAGACUCCUACGGGAGGCAGCAGUAGGGAAUCUUCCGCAAUGGACGAAAGUCUGACGGAGCAACGCCGCGUGAGUGAUGAAGGUUUUCGGAUCGUAAAACUCUGUUGUUAGGGAAGAACAAGUGCGAGAGUAACUGCUCGCACCUUGACGGUACCUAACCAGAAAGCCACGGCUAACUACGUGCCAGCAGCCGCGGUAAUACGUAGGUGGCAAGCGUUGUCCGGAAUUAUUGGGCGUAAAGCGCGCGCAGGCGGUUUCUUAAGUCUGAUGUGAAAGCCCCCGGCUCAACCGGGGAGGGUCAUUGGAAACUGGGAAACUUGAGUGCAGAAGAGGAGAGUGGAAUUCCACGUGUAGCGGUGAAAUGCGUAGAGAUGUGGAGGAACACCAGUGGCGAUGCGACUCUCUGGUCUGUAACUGACGCUGAGGCGCGAAAGCGUGGGGAGCGAACAGGAUUAGAUACCCUGGUAGUCCACGCCGUAAACGAUGAGUGCUAAGUGUUAGAGGGUUUCCGCCCUUUAGUGCUGCAGCUAACGCAUUAAGCACUCCGCCUGGGGAAUACCGGUCGCAAGACUGAAACUUCAAAUGAAUUUGAACCGGGGAAGAAC
rnacentral:rRNA from 1 species